rnacentral:rRNA from 1 species
AUGAUUAGAGAAUUUUGGUGGGUUGAUGAGGAGGGGCAAAGAAGAGUGCAUUGGAUGUCUUGGGAAAAGAUGACUAUGCCAAAGAGAGCCGGGGGUAUUGGUUUUUGUGACAUGCACUUAUUUAAUGUGGCAUUGCUGGCGAGACAGAGCUGGAGACUGAUCCAAAACCCUAACAGCCUAUGUGCGAGAGUCCUCAAACCAAAAUACUACCCAAAUGGUGAUCUCCUCAACACUGUUUUCACCUCGGACGCCCCACUGGUCUGCAGAGGAAUUGAGCAUGGUCUAGAACUACUUAAAAAAGGGCUCAUCCAGAGAGUUGGAAAUGGGAAAAGUAUCCAAAUACAACGGUAUCAAUGGAUCCCAAGAGAGAGUGGGCUGAAAUCAGCUAGUUUUAUAAGAAGGUCAAGGUUGCGGUGGUAA